rnacentral:rRNA from 1 species
UACGUAGGGCGCAAGCGUUGUCCGGAAUUAUUGGGCGUAAAGAGCUCGUAGGCGGCUUGUCACGUCGGAUGUGAAAGCCCGGGGCUUAACUCCGGGCCUGCAUUCGAUACGGGCUGGCUAGAGUGUGGUAGGGGAGAUCGGAAUUCCUGGUGUAGCGGUGAAAUGCGCAGAUAUCAGGAGGAACACCGGUGGCGAAGGCGGGUCUCUGGGCCGAAACUGACGCUGAGGAGCGAAAGCGUGGGGAGCAAACAGG